UGAGUUCGGAGGUGAAGCGUUGGGAGGCAACGUGGGUCGAGACCAACGCAAAGUAGCCAUCUGGACACUCCGGCGACACGAUCCUGGAGAAGGCCCAAACGCUCUACACCUCGUGUAGCAAGGGCGUUCCAUUCAAAUGGUGGAACGCGUGGAAAAUUCUUCAGACGAACCGAAAGAUCAAAAAUUUAUACCUCGAGGG
rnacentral:lncRNA from 1 species